GGGUUGUGAGGUUAAGCGACUAAGCGUACACGGUGGAUGCCCUGGCAGUCAGAGGCGAUGAAGGACGUGCUAAUCUGCGAAAAGCGUCGGUAAGGUGAUAUGAACCGUUAUAACCGGCGAUGUCCGAAUGGGGAAACCCAGUGUGAUUCGUCACACUAUCGUUAACUGAAUACAUAGGUUAACGAGGCGAACCGGGGGAACUGAAACAUCUAAGUACCCCGAGGAAAAGAAAUCAACCGAGAUUCCCCCAGUAGCGGCGAGCGAACGGGGAGCAGCCCAGAGUCUGAAUCAGCUUGUGUGUUAGUGGAACGGUCUGGAAAGUCCGACGGUACAGGGUGAUAGUCCCGUACACCAAAAUGCACAGGUUGUGAACUCGAAGAGUAGGGCGGGACACGUGGUAUCCUGUCUGAAUAUGGGGGGACCAUCCUCCAAGGCUAAAUACUCCUGACUGACCGAUAGUGAACCAGUACCGUGAGGGAAAGGCGAAAAGAACCCCGGCGAGGGGAGUGAAAAAGAACCUGAAACCGUGUACGUACAAGCAGUGGGAGCACCUUCGGGUGUGACUGCGUACCUUUUGUAUAAUGGGUCAGCGACUUAUAUUCUGUAGCAAGGUUAACCGUAUAGGGGAGCCGCAGGGAAACCGAGUCUUAACUGGGCGUUAAGUUGCAGGGUAUAGACCCGAAACCCGGUGAUCUAGCCAUGGGCAGGUUGAAGGUUGGGUAACACUAACUGGAGGACCGAACCGACUAAUGUUGAAAAAUUAGCGGAUGACUUGUGGCUGGGGGUGAAAGGCCAAUCAAACCGGGAGAUAGCUGGUUCUCCCCGAAAGCUAUUUAGGUAGCGCCUCGUGAACUCAUCUUCGGGGGUAGAGCACUGUUUCGGCUAGGGGGUCAUCCCGACUUACCAACCCGAUGCAAACUACGAAUACCGAAGAAUGUUAUCACGGGAGACACACGGCGGGUGCUAACGUCCGUCGUGAAGAGGGAAACAACCCAGACCGCCAGCUAAGGUCCCAAAGUCAUGGUUAAGUGGGAAACGAUGUGGGAAGGCACAGACAGCCAGGAUGUUGGCUUAGAAGCAGCCAUCAUUUAAAGAAAGCGUAAUAGCUCACUGGUCGAGUCGGCCUGCGCGGAAGAUGUAACGGGGCUAAACCAUGCACCGAAGCUGCGGCAGCGACACUAUGUGUUGUUGGGUAGGGGAGCGUUCUGUAAGCCUGCGAAGGUGUGCUGUGAGGCAUGCUGGAGGUAUCAGAAGUGCGAAUGCUGACAUAAGUAACGAUAAAGCGGGUGAAAAGCCCGCUCGCCGGAAGACCAAGGGUUCCUGUCCAACGUUAAUCGGGGCAGGGUGAGUCGACCCCUAAGGCGAGGCCGAAAGGCGUAGUCGAUGGGAAACAGGUUAAUAUUCCUGUACUUGGUGUUACUGCGAAGGGGGGACGGAGAAGGCUAUGUUAGCCGGGCGACGGUUGUCCCGGUUUAAGCAUGUAGGCUGAUUGUCCAGGCAAAUCCGGAUAAUCAAGGCUGAGGUGUGAUGACGAGGCACUACGGUGCUGAAGUAACAAAUGCCCUGCUUCCAGGAAAAGCCUCUAAGCAUCAGGUAACAUCAAAUCGUACCCCAAACCGACACAGGUGGUCAGGUAGAGAAUACCAAGGCGCUUGAGAGAACUCGGGUGAAGGAACUAGGCAAAAUGGUGCCGUAACUUCGGGAGAAGGCACGCUGGUGUGUAGGUGAAGUCCCUGCGGAUGGAGCUGAGACCAGUCGAAGAUACCAGCUGGCUGCAACUGUUUAUUAAAAACACAGCACUGUGCAAACACGAAAGUGGACGUAUACGGUGUGACGCCUGCCCGGUGCCGGAAGGUUAAUUGAUGGGGUUAUCCGUAAGGAGAAGCUCUUGAUCGAAGCCCCGGUAAACGGCGGCCGUAACUAUAACGGUCCUAAGGUAGCGAAAUUCCUUGUCGGGUAAGUUCCGACCUGCACGAAUGGCGUAAUGAUGGCCAGGCUGUCUCCACCCGAGACUCAGUGAAAUUGAACUCGCUGUGAAGAUGCAGUGUACCCGCGGCAAGACGGAAAGACCCCGUGAACCUUUACUAUAGCUUGACACUGAACAUUGAGCCUUGAUGUGUAGGAUAGGUGGGAGGCUUUGAAGCGUGGACGCCAGUCUGCGUGGAGCCAACCUUGAAAUACCACCCUUUAAUGUUUGAUGUUCUAACGUUGGCCCCUGACCGGGGUUGCGGACAGUGUCUGGUGGGUAGUUUGACUGGGGCGGUCUCCUCCCAAAGCGUAACGGAGGAGCACGAAGGUUAGCUAAUCCUGGUCGGACAUCAGGAGGUUAGUGCAAUGGCAUAAGCUAGCUUGACUGCGAGCGUGACGGCGCGAGCAGGUGCGAAAGCAGGUCAUAGUGAUCCGGUGGUUCUGAAUGGAAGGGCCAUCGCUCAACGGAUAAAAGGUACUCCGGGGAUAACAGGCUGAUACCGCCCAAGAGUUCAUAUCGACGGCGGUGUUUGGCACCUCGAUGUCGGCUCAUCACAUCCUGGGGCUGAAGUAGGUCCCAAGGGUAUGGCUGUUCGCCAUUUAAAGUGGUACGCGAGCUGGGUUUAGAACGUCGUGAGACAGUUCGGUCCCUAUCUGCCGUGGGCGCUGGAGAAUUGAGGGGGGCUGCUCCUAGUACGAGAGGACCGGAGUGGACGCAUCACUGGUGUUCGGGUUGUCAUGCCAAUGGCACUGCCCGGUAGCUAAAUGCGGAAGAGAUAAGUGCUGAAAGCAUCUAAGCACGAAACUUGCCCCGAGAUGAGUUCUCCCUGAGACUUUAAGUCUCCUGAAGGAACGUUGAAGACGACGACGUUGAUAGGCCGGGUGUGUAAGCGCAGCGAUGCGUUGAGCUAACCGGUACUAAUGAACCGUGAGGCUUAACCUUACAACGCCGAAG
rnacentral:rRNA from 1 species